CCUACGGGGGGCUGCAGUGGGGAAUAUUGCACAAUGGAGGGAACUCUGAUGCAGCGACGCCGCGUGAGUGAAGAAGUAAUUCGUUAUGUAAAGCUCUAUCAGCAGGGAAGAAAGUGACGGUACCUGAAAAAGAAGCUCCGGCUAAAUACGUGCCAGCAGCCGCGGUAAUACGUAUGGAGCAAGCGUUAUCCGGAUUUACUGGGUGUAAAGGGGGCGCAGACGGCAAUGCAAGCCAGGAGUGAAAGCCCGGGGCCCAACCCCGGGACUGCUCUUGGAACUGCAUGGCUGGAGUACAGGAGGGGCAGGCGGAAUUCCUAGUGUAGCGGUGAAAUGCGUAGAUAUUAGGAGGAACACCGGUGGCGAAGGCGGCCUGCUGGACUGUGACUGACGUUGAGGCCCGAAGGCGUGGGGAGCAAACAGGAUUAGAUACCCCAGUAGUC
rnacentral:rRNA from 1 species